CAAUAAAUUCCAAUUAUAAUGUUUUCCAGCACCCAAAAGCAGGGAAGCAUUUCGUGAAUGGCUUCUCUCUCUUUAUUCAAUCGCUCUGGAGCUCCAAUGGCCAUAUCUGCCUUCUCUUACAUCGCCUCUGCAUCUUACUCGAACCGCAAUCACAAGCUCCGUUGCUGGCGUUCUUCAUUUUCAUUUUCCCCUCCAUCUCGUCCAAGCUCGAGGUGCCAUGGCAAAAUUAGGGCACAUAAGCACGGCAAGGUCAGUAGCAGAUCUAAUGGUGUCACAGUACUUUCCUCAGCAUUCUUCCGUGGCAAAAUUAGGAUACGGGGUUACUGCAUGCUCAGUACAAGCCCUAAUGGUGUUGCAGUCAUUUCCUCAAACGAGAAUUAUGGCAAUAAGGAGGUUAUCAGCGUCACCCCUCAAUUGUAUGAGUACAUUCUGGCAAAUGUUCGUGAACCGGAGAUUCUUCGAGAGCUUCGGGAAGAGACUGCAGGAAUGCAAGGGAGCCAGAUGCAGGUUUCUCCUGAUCAAGCGCAACUACUCGCAAUGCUAGUUCAAAUUCUCGGGGCGCAACGUUGUAUUGAAAUUGGUGUUUAUACAGGGUAUUCCUCUUUGGCUAUUGCCUUAGUACUACCUGAAUCGGGUCGUUUAGUUGCUUGUGACAGGGAUGCUAAGUGCCUUGAAGUAGCAAAAAGAUAUUAUAAGAGAGCUGGUGUGUCUCACAAGGUGGAAGUGAAACAUGCUCUGGCAAUCAAUGUCCUGGAAUCUCUAAUUGAGACUGAAGAACCUGGCUGUUUUGAUUUUGCUUUCGUUGAUGCUGAGAAGAGAAUGUACAAGGAAUAUUAUGAGUUACUUUUACAGUUGGUAAGGCCUGGGGGUGUUAUUGUAAUUGAUAAUGUACUCUGGCAUGGAAGAGUUGCUGACCCUCUGGUAAAUGAUAAAAAGACAAUGAGCAUAAGAGAUUUCAAUAGAAGUAUCUUUGAGGAUAAACGAGUCAGUAUUUGUGUGGUAGGUGGUAGAUAUAUCUUUUAUUCUUAUACGACAUACAUGUGUCUUCCUUUGUUCCUCUUCUUGUUCUUGGGUUAACCUUUGAGCUUUCUGAAGUUUAGGUUCCUAUUGGAGAUGGGAUGACAAUAUGCUGCAAAAGAUGAUCUCUUAUCGAAGCCAUGCACAUGACACCAACAUGCUCUACUUCUAUUAUCAUUAUGUUAUUUUGAUUCAUGCUGCUUUUCAUUCUGAUGGCAUUGCAUGUUAGUUAUAGAUAGUAAUUAAAAAAUGCAUUUAUUAAAAGCUGUGCUAGUAAUUGAUUCUCAUGAUUAGUGCCGCAGUGUAGGCACCAUCUUUGGCACAUAUAACUGCCUGUGCUUUAUUCGUUGUAAUUGCCUGGACUGCUAUUAUAAAAUGCAGUUUAUAGAUUGUAAAGCACAUAUCACUAUUGCUCAUGGCUUGUGGUUUUGUGCCUCGCAUGAUGUGAGUAAUUUUCUUAUUUAAGAUCUGGGUGUGUUAUUGAUAAUGCACCGUUGUAGCAUUGGGACCCACUCUAAAAUAGUUAAUUCGUAAAGGAUGAGGCUGGGUGUUCAAUUUGCAUAUUUGUUUGAAUUGUUGGGCAUGGUUUGGUCCUGUACUAAUUACUUCUGCGGCUGCUUGGAUGAUGGUUAUAAUCAGAUUCGUGUGCAAUUGUCUUGCAUUAAGCUCUUGACUUAUGAUCCUUGCGUGGUGAGGCAUAUGGAAUUCCAUCAGGCCUAUCUGUACCAACCUGGACACAGCUAGGCUCUUGUCCUUUUUCCAGUUGCUAUUCACGAGCAACUAGUGGGGAGUUUGUGGACUAUCAGACUAUUGGUUCGUCUCGCUAUGUGAUGUAUUCUGCUAGAUCUGGGAAUGCAGCAAGGAUUUAGAACGAAACAUCCCCAGAAGGGCAUUUUCAAAAAACACGCAUCCACAGAAGGGAAGAAUGGGAAGUUUUGUCCAUCUUUAGCGUGCCUUUCGCUACUUCUGAUUGAGCUAUACUUGAAAACCUAGUAAAAAAUUUCGAUGUUUUCUUAAAACAUUUCAAAUAUAUGAAGAUAUUUUAUUGUUGUUU